GUUCCCAUGCCGAACACGGAAGUUAAGCUCUUCAGCGCCGAUGGUAGUUGGGGGUUUCCCCCUGUGAGAGUAGGACGUUGCCAGGU
rnacentral:rRNA from 1 species